rnacentral:tRNA from 1 species
GGAAGUGUAAAAAACUGAGCAUAUAGAGCAGUUGCCUCCUAAGCAAAAGGUCAUGGGUUCAAAUCCCAUCGGGCCCG